GUGUAUCAUAGCAGCUUGUUGAAUGUUGCUAAGUCCUCUUAUUAUAAGUGAUUUUGAGCUUGUUUUUUCUGUAAAUCGCUAGCGAAUCUCUUCAGUCGAAGGUUUUUGAUCUUGCUUUCUAAAGUGUAGUCGCUUAUUUGGGCUGCUGUGCUGCCUCGAAGAACAACUCCAGAUCCUCUCCUUGUUACUCACAAUAAGGCGAAACACGGGACUGGAAUAACAAUCCAUCGGCAGGACAUUUCCAGGCUGUUUUCCAUCGCCUCAUGGUCAACUGUGGUGUGUCUCCUAUCUGGAAAUGUGGCAGCAGUGAAUGACACUGUCUCCCUGAUCUGUCCUCAGCUCCAGCAGCAGAUGAAUCUGAAGACCUCCCAUCCCCGUUCGCUAGCGUCCCUGUUCUCGUGGGUGAUGACAGUUAGUUGCCCAAAUGUUUGGUGGCCUUGUGGACAAUGCUCUGCCAUAUAUAUCAGGGUUUGUUGGUUGUUGUUAAAAAAUUUUUACUUAGGCCUAUUUGUUUUAUUUUACUGUGUUAAGCACCUUGUGCACCUUUUGGCUGUUGGAAAGCGCAAUAAAAAUAAAAAUUGAUUUGAUUUGA